AUGACUACUUCCAGGCGCCUUGCUGACAGGAAGACAGCGAAGUUCCAGAAGAACAUCACCAAGAGGGGUUCGGUGCCUGAAACCACUGUGAAGAAGGGGAAUGACUAUCCUGUUGGACCUAUAGUGCUUGGAUUCUUCAUCUUUGUGGUCGUCGGAUCAUCUCUGUUUCAGAUAAUCAGGACAGCGAGCAGUGGUGGGAUGGCCUGA
rnacentral:rRNA from 1 species